AGUAGUUGAAACCCUAGCUCAAAACUUUCUUCUUCUUUCCUCUCAGCCGCAGCUUUUGCUAUACGGUUUUGCAAUGUCUUAGAUCUUAUUUUCUUUCAAGCUUCUAUCGAUUAUCACCUGUGAAAUCUUAAUUUGUUGAUAGUUUUCAUCUUCCCACCGAAGAGAGGUACUUUUAGUAUUUGUUUUUUUUCUAUUAUUUCCCCCUUUUUCAUAUGUCGUCUCUUCUAUUUUUUUUUGCCGCGACAGCGGGAUCUUACUUGCUAGUCUUCAUUUCCAAUUUGUAGGGUGAAUAGGUAAAAUUUUUUGGGCGAUUUAAAUCUCUUUUGGUGCUCUAUAUUUUUUUUCGUCGUGUAGCAAAGAAAGGUUCGUAUUUUUUUUAUUUUCGUAUUUUAGUUUGGAUCAUUUCUGGGAUUCGAUAUUUUUUUUAGGCGUAUGUCGAGGUUGCUCGAAGGAUCGUUCGAUUUUUUUAUCGGUUCUCACCCGUGAAAUCUUUUUUCAUUGUUGGUUUUUAUCUUCAUACUAGAGAGGUAAGUUUUUAUUCUUGAGUUAUUUUUCACUUUAAUAAUUUGUUGAAUCUCUGUACGGGGUCUUUUUUUAUUUUUAUUUUUAUUUUUGGGAGGGGGGUGUUCUAGCAUGUGGAAUCUUGCUUCACUAAUCUUCAUUCUGGGUUGUAGCAAGAAUAGAUAUAUUGUUGUUGCCGUUUAAGUCUACUUUUGUACUCUUGUGUUCCCUUUAGUUUUGCAAUGGAGAAAGUUAUUUGUUUUUUGUGUAGUUUGUUCUGUAUGUGCCCUACUUUCGGUUUUUGCGAGAUUAAUGUUUCUUCUUCUGACUUUUCUAUUGUUUUCUCUUUCCAUCAGUUUAUUUAAACUUAUUAACUGUCUGUGAGGUUAUAGAAGAACGUAGGAAAAAUAAGGAACUAAAGCUCGCCAUAAUUGUGUUAUGGCUGCAAAACUUUAUUUAAUGCUAUUAUAGUGAGCGUUUAUUUUUCUUAAUUCAUUUCUGUCCAUUGAAUGACCAAUUUUUGUUGUUAAUGUCUACGUAUGGUAUUUUCACUAUUUAUUCAGCAAGAUAUGGUAUUUAUUUUCACUAGAGAGGCAAUCUUUCUAUUUUGGAGUCAUUUUUCCCUCUCCUAAUUUCUUGAAUCCCUUACUUUUGGAUUUUUUCUUUUCUUGGAGCUUUAGCAUCUGCGAUAUUGCCACACUGAUCUGUAAUCUGGGUUUUAUCAAGAGUAUGUAUAUUGUUGUUGACGUUCAAGUCUAUCUUUUUACUCUUAUGUUCCCUUUAGUUUUGCAAUGGCGAAAGGGUUUUUCUUCUUCUGUUUUUUUUUCUGUAGCAGAAGAAUGUGCUUUUCCUUUCUCUUAGAUUGAUCCAUAAAUUUUAUGCUUCCUACACGUAGACUGUGAUUUUUAUGUUCGAUUCUUUCUUCUGGGUACUUGCUUAAGUUCCAGAUUGAUAUGUAUUUUCAAUUUUUCUAUUUCUUGGGUGCAUAUUUAUGUUUUUUUGUUGGGGGAUGUUCAUUAUAUAUAUCCGUGUACAAUAAAAGAGGGACUUCAUUCUGGCACUAUUCAUCCGUUUUUUCCUUUAUUUUUUUUUAAACUUAGCCUGAUAUUUUAUCCUUCAACCAAUGUAGAUUUGCUAGAUGUUUUGCUUCUUUACUUUCACGCAACCCUCAUCCCUUCACAAUUGUAUCCCACCUUUACUCUUUCACUCCAUUUCGUCAUAGCUUUAUCUCACCUUCUCUGUUACACUCUUCCGACCGUUGUUCUCACUGUCGUUUGUCUACACAUUUUGAAGAAUCGAUUUUCAUUUUCUUGUUAAUUCUCGUUCUAUCGUUGAUUUCUUUCGGUGGCUUCUUGGUUCAACAUUUCGAUUGUAUAUUCGGUGAGAUCUAUGCUCCCUUUGUUCGUCUUUUUUUUUUUUUUUUUUAGAUUUGUGCGUUUCUCUUUAGAUCUAACAAAAGUCAGCCGAUACCUUCUCUCUUGAAAUGUAAUUUCGUCUCCGCGUUCUUCAUCAUUAUGGUUUGUAAUUUUUCCUUUUUAUAUUGUUGAUUUAUUUAUUUGAAAUAAUUCUCGAUUAGCAGUGCAAUGGUUCUUACUAUUUCUUGUACGUACAAAUCAGAUUUUGAGCUUUUCCAGUGAAGAGGCAAGAAUGAAAAUUCGUUCGUGUAACUGCACGGUGUCUUAUGUUGUGAUUUUUUUCGUUUCUUGUUCAUUCUUGGGUGAUUCUUGGAGCAUAUUGUAGAUGGGGGUAGGGGUGUGAGAAGAAGACUAUUUUUUUGAAUAAUUUUGACGGGGUUAUUAGCAAACAAGCUAUGAAGAAGAAUAGAACUACUUAAAAAGUCAUGUAUAAAUGUUGAAGAUAGAAGUGCAAAAGGAGUCGAACAUUGAACUGUGGGUGUAAUUUAUUGUUAGAAAUAUAGUGCAAACAUGGGGAUUAUCUAGAUUUAUAAGCUUGGCCAUGUAAAUUUCAUAAUCUUGAAAGAAGAUGGUUACCUUUGUCUUGUCCAUUAUUGUAAUCGAAUUGCUCUCUCUCUCUCUCUUCUAAAUUUAUUUAGGCUUUCUUAAAGGGUGAACCCCAACCUUGAAGGCCCCCACCGCCCGGCCCCUAGAGCUUUGUGAGGGAGGUAAAUCGCGGAAUGAUAAAUUAUUUAGGCUUUCUUUAUUCUACAUUGGGCGUUGAUAAAUUAUGCCUGUUCAUAAAACUGCCAGAACUGUAUUGUCUGUGUGUAUUUUCGUUCUGAGACUUUAUGUGUAAACUGAUUGUUAUGUAUUGAACUUUCGUUACUUCCCUAAUCAUAGUAGAAAAUUUUCAUACGUUGCAAAAUUUGCACAAAGAAGUAUCUGAUUGAUGUGGAUUUUUAGUACACAUUAAUGUGAGCUUUAAACUCGUCCAUCCUUAGUGUCCUUGUCCCUAUUGCUAUCCCUAUAGAACAAAAGAGAUACUUGAUUCUGCUGCUGUUCAUCCUUAAGUAACGUCAAGAAUUUUAUGCUGAAAGGAAAAAAAUAAAGGUGUGAUGGUAGGAGUAGAUGGUUUGAAUGCGUACAGGGUAAGUAUGUGUAAUGAUGUUCCUAAAUUUUUAAUUAUUUGGUAAAAUUAUUUAUUUUAGAAUUUUUGUGUAUUUCUUUGUAGUGAUUAAUUUGGAUUAAUUGUAUAUUUUUAUUUUUUAGUAUGGUUCCAUUGCUAUCUUAGAAUUUGGAAUUUCAAAGAUGGGUAUAGCUGAUUUCAAUGAUUUAGAAUAUAUUAUGUCAAACAGGGUUGAUCUACCACACCAUUUCUUUACAAUUAUCGCAAAUUCAUUGGACUAACGAUCGUCUGGUGAGUUCUAAAAUGAUCUCUUUGUUAGCAUUUAUUCAUUGGGCCAUAAUAUUUGUUUUGUGAGUUCUAAAACUAAAUAUAAAGUAAAUAAUAUUCCUUACAAGACUUAUGUUUUUUUAAGUCGAUCCCAAGAACUUUUUUGCACCGCUUGGGACACAAACAUACUGAUGCAGUACGUUUGAUUGGUUAUGAUGGAAUUAUCUACUUGUGAUGGUCAUAAAAUAAUUAUCACACCCAAGUUGUGGAUUCUGCUCAUUCUGAAUAGGUUGUACAAGAAAUUUGAUUUAAUUACUUAUAAUUAACCUAUGCGAUGAUAUCCUACAUUUGGACUUCGUGCAAUGCUACAUCAUCGUCAUUUGGAGACUGACAUGCUUCUAGCUCAAAUUAUUCCAAGUAGGUAAACAAUUUUAUGAUUUGUAAUUUUAUGAAUAAUAUACAAAAUUAUUUAUUCCCACUCUUAGUGUCUUUACGACAAUCUAAACAAUGAGAUAUUCUAAGUUUUUAUGAACGACAUUUUGUCAUAACUCAAAUGUUUGAUACUUUUCUCGUUUCCUUUAUUUUUGUUUUUCAAAAAUAUAACUUUGUGAAACUAAAAAUGUUUCCUCUCACUUAAUCUUGGCUCUAUUGUGUAACUAUUAUUCUAUGCAUUUCUACUUUAGUAUGUGUGAUUUCAUUCUUACACUUCUAUUUACUUAAUGAAGUAGCACAUUUUUCUGCAUGCACAUCUAGGGAGUCAAUUAUGGACAAUAGUGCUUGAGCCUUUUUCAAAGCAUUCAUUACUAAAUUUAGAAAGAACUCUCUCAAAUGCCUGCCAUAAUUUAAAAGAGCAAUCAAAUAUCUUCACGAAAAACUUUGCUUUCUUUAUAUCUACCAAAUGAACAUUAUAUAGCUCAAACCAACGAUAACUUUUUUGUUAAAAUAUUUGAUUGUUCUUUUAAAUUAUAUUGUGAUUUCGAGAGACUUCUUUCUAAUUUAGUGAUAACUACUUUGGAAGAGGCCCAAGCUCUAUAUUUUAACAUGAUAAUACAAUGAGGUGAUUCUUUAACUAACAUUUAUUACAUGGCAUUAUUUUUCCAUAGUACCAUUUGUUGCUUUUAUGUUCUAUUUUAGAAUGGACUUCAAAAGGUCAAUUUAAUUGACUCUAAUUAUGGGCCAAUACCUAGCCCCACAAAAUCCAUUUAAUUUUUCUUUGAUUUAUAUUCUUACUAAUAUUAUGCGGGUAAUAUUAUACAAGUA